rnacentral:rRNA from 1 species
CCUACGGGUGGCAGCAGUGGGGAAUAUUGCACAAUGGGGGAAACCCUGAUGCAGCGACGCAGCGUGAACGAUGAAGUAUUUCGGUAUGUAAAGCUCUAUCUGCAGGGAAGAAAAUGGCGGUAUCUGACUAAGAAGCCCCGGAUAACUACGUGCCAGCAGCCGCGGUAAUACGGAGGGGGCAAGCGUUAUCCGGAUGUACUGGGUGUAAAGGGAGCGUAGACGGGUGUGCAAGCCAGUUGUGAAGGCCCGGGGCUCAACCCCGGGAUUGCAUUUGAUACUGUGUGGCUGGAGUUUCGGAGAGGCAGGCGGAAUUCCUGGUGUAGCGGUGAAAUGCGUAGAUAUUAGGAGGAACUCCGGUGGCGAAGGCGGCCUGCUGGACGAUGACUGACGUUGAGGCUCGAAAGCGUGGGGAGCAAACAGGAUUAGAUACCCUGGUAGUC